rnacentral:rRNA from 1 species
CAUGCAAGUCGAACGAUGAUGCCCAGCUUGCUGGGUGGAUUAGUGGCGAACGGGUGAGUAACACGUGAGUAACCUGCCCUUGACUUCGGGAUAACUCCGGGAAACCGGGGCUAAUACCGGAUAUGAGCUACCUUCGCAUGGGGGUGGUUGGAAAGUUUUUCGGUCAGGGAUGGGCUCGCGGCCUAUCAGCUUGUUGGUGGGGUGAUGGCCUACCAAGGCGACGACGGGUAGCCGGCCUGAGAGGGCGACCGGCCACACUGGGACUGAGACACGGCCCAGACUCCUACGGGAGGCAGCAGUGGGGAAUAUUGCACAAUGGGCGAAAGCCUGAUGCAGCGACGCCGCGUGAGGGAUGAAGGCCUUCGGGUUGUAAACCUCUUUCAGCAGGGAAGAAGCGCAAGUGACGGUACCUGCAGAAGAAGCGCCGGCUAACUACGUGCCAGCAGCCGCGGUAAUACGUAGGGCGCAAGCGUUGUCCGGAAUUAUUGGGCGUAAAGAGCUCGUAGGCGGUUUGUCGCGUCUGGUGUGAAAACUCGAGGCUCAACCUCGAGCUUGCAUCGGGUACGGGCAGACUAGAGUGCGGUAGGGGAGACUGGAAUUCCUGGUGUAGCGGUGGAAUGCGCAGAUAUCAGGAGGAACACCGAUGGCGAAGGCAGGUCUCUGGGCCGCAACUGACGCUGAGGAGCGAAAGCAUGGGGAGCGAACAGGAUUAGAUACCCUGGUAGUCCAUGCCGUAAACGUUGGGCACUAGGUGUGGGGCUCAUUCCACGAGUUCCGUGCCGCAGCAAACGCAUUAAGUGCCCCGCCUGGGGAGUACGGCCGCAAGGCUAAAACUCAAAGGAAUUGACGGGGGCCCGCACAAGCGGCGGAGCAUGCGGAUUAAUUCGAUGCAACGCGAAGAACCUUACCAAGGCUUGACAUGCACGGGAAGCC